UAUCGAGGGUGUGACGGAGAAGGAUAGUGUGUGCUAGCGAUUGGAAAUGCUAGUCUAAGCGUUUAGGGAGUUACGGUAGGCAAAUCCGCUGUAACAAUUCUGAGGCGUGAUGGGGAAGGCCAUAUAGGCCGAAGUACAUGAUUCCAUGCUUCCAAGAAAAGCAUCUAGAGAGAGAAGUAGUGCCCGUACCGCAAACCGACACAGGUAGAUGAGGAGAGAAUCCUAAGGCCGGCGGAAGAAUUGCAGUUAAGGAACUAGGCAAAUUGACCCCGUAAGUUCGCGAGAAGGGGUGCCUGCGAGAGCAGGCCGCAGAGAAUAGGCCCAAGCAACUGUUUAGCAAAAACACAGGUCUCUGCUAAAGCGUAAGCUGAUGUAUAGGGGCUGACGCCUGCCCGGUGCUGGAAGGUUAAGGGGAACACUUAGCGCAAGCGAAGGUGUGAACUUAAGCCCCAGUAAACGGCGGCCGUAACAAUAACGGUCCUAAGGUAGCGAAAUUCCUUGUCAGGUAAGUUCUGACCCGCACGAAUGGCGUAAUGACUUGGGCACUGUCUCAACUGCAAAUCCGGCGAAGUUGUAGUGCGAGUGAAGAUGCUCGCUACCCGCGAUUGGACGGAAAGACCCCGUAGAGCUUUACUGUAGCUUAGCAUUGAAUUCCGGUAUUGUCUGUACAGGAUAGGUGGGAGACUGGGAAACUAGGGCGUCAGCCUUAGUGGAGUCAACCUUGGGAUACCACCCUGACAGUACUGGGGUUCUAACAGGACGCCAUGAAUCUGGUGACUGGACAUUGUUAGGUGGGCAGUUUGACUGGGGCGGUCGCCUCCUAAAAAGUAACGGAGGCGCCCAAAGGUUCCCUCAGAACGGUCGGAAAUCGUUCGUAGAGUGCAAAGGCAGAAGGGAGCCUGACUGCGAGACAUACAAGUCGAGCAGGGACGAAAGUCGGGCUUAGUGAUCCGGUGGUACCUCGUGGGAGGGCCAUCGCUCAACGGAUAAAAGCUACCUCGGGGAUAACAGGCUGAUCUCCCCCAAGAGUCCACAUCGACGGGGAGGUUUGGCACCUCGAUGUCGGCUCGUCGCAUCCUGGGGCUGUAGUAGGUCCCAAGGGUUGGGCUGUUCGCCCAUUAAAGCGGCACGCGAGCUGGGUUCAGAACGUCGUGAGACAGUUCGGUCCCUAUCCGUCGCGGGCGUAGGAAAUUUGAGAGGAGCUGUCCUUAGUACGAGAGGACCGGGAUGGACUGACCUCUGGUGCACCAGUUGUUCCGCCAGGAGCAUGGCUGGGUAGCUAAGUCGGGAAGGGAUAAACGCUGAAAGCAUCUAAGCGUGAAGCCUCCCUCAAGAUGAGAUUUCCCAUAGCAUAAGCUAGUAAGACCCCUUGAAGAACACAAGGUUGAUAGGUCAGAGGUGUAAGUGCGGUAACGUAUUUAGCUGACUGAUACUAAUAGGUCGAGGGCUUGACCAU
rnacentral:rRNA from 1 species